rnacentral:rRNA from 1 species
GAUGAACGCUGGCGGCGUGCCUAAUACAUGCAAGUCGAGCGAACGGACGAGAAGCUUGCUUCUCUGAUGUUAGCGGCGGAAGGGUGAGUAACACGUGGAUAACCUACCUAUCAGACUGGGAUAACUUCGGGAAACCGGAGCUCAUACCGGAUAAUAUUUUGAACCGCAUGGUUCAAAAGUGAAAGACGUUCUUGCUGUCACUUAUAGAUGUAUCCGCGCUGCAUUAGCUAGUUGGUAAGGUAACGGCUUACCAAGGCAACGAUGCAUAGCCGACCUGAGAGGGUGAUCGGCCACACUGGAACUGAGACACGGUCCAGACUCCUACGGGAGGCAGCAGUAGGGAAUCUUCCGCAAUGGGCGAAAGCCUGACGGAGCAACGCCGCGUGAGUGAUGAAGGUCUUCGGAUCGUAAAGCUCUGUUGUUAGGGAAGAACAUAUGUGUAAGAAACUGUGCACAAAUUGACGGUACCUAAUCAGAAAGCCACGGCUAACUACGUG